rnacentral:rRNA from 1 species
AUUGAACGCUGGCGGCAGGCCUAACACAUGCAGGUCGAGCGGGGUUUUCGGACCUAGCGGCGGACGGGUGAGUAAUGCGUAGGAAGCUACCCGAUAGAGGGGGAUACCAGUUGGAAACGACUGUUAAUACCGCAUAAUGUCUACGGACCAAAGUGUGGGACCUUCGGGCCACAUGCUAUCGGAUGCGCCUACGUGGGAUUAGCUAGUUGGUGAGGUAAUGGCUCACCAAGGCGACGAUCCCUAGCUGGUUUGAGAGGAUGAUCAGCCACACUGGAACUGAGACACGGUCCAGACUCCUACGGGAGGCAGCAGUGGGGAAUAUUGGACAAUGGGCGCAAGCCCGAUCCAGCCAUGCCGCGUGUGUGAAGAAGGCCUUCGGGUUGUAAAGCACUUUCAGUAGGGAGGAAGCGUUGUGUGUUAAUAGUACACAGCGUUGACGUUACCUACAGAAGAAGCACCGGCUAACUCUGUGCCAGCAGCCGCCGUAAAAC